rnacentral:rRNA from 1 species
GACGAACGCUGGCGGCGUGCUUAACACAUGCAAGUCGAACGGGAUCCGGGCGUUCGGGUUUGGUGAGCGUGGCGAACGGGUGAGUAACACGUGAGUAACCUGCCCCCUUCUUUGGGAUAACGUCGGUAAAUCGGCGCUAAUACAGGCUAUUCUUGCUGCUUCGCCUGGUGUGGUUUGGGAAGGGUUUCUGGUGGGGGAUGGGCCGGCGGCCUAUCAGCUUGUUGGUGGGGGGAGGGCCUACCAAGGCUUUGACGGGUAGCCGGACUGAGAGGGGCUCCGGGGACACUGGGACUGGGACACGGCCCAGACGCCUACGGGAGGCAGCAGAGGGGAAGAUUGCGGAAUAGGCGCGAGCCUGAUGCAGCGACGCAGCGUGGGGGAUGACGGGCUUCGGGUUGUAAGCCUCUUGCAGUAUGGAACAAGGAUCCUUCUUUUGGGGGGUUUGAGGGUACGUGCAGAAGAAGCGCCGGCUAACUACGUG